CAUGAAGAGACCACCAUCGGUCUUUUAACCUUGCCCAUCGUACCCUUGUGUUGUUCCCUCGGUGCGACGCGUGCGUCCGCCGGCGGGAAGCUCAACAAAACCUUUGCAACAUAGCAUCCAAAAAGCUCUGAUAAUAAAACCUAAUUGUCA
rnacentral:misc_RNA from 1 species